AGUGAACGCUGGCGGUAGGCCUAACACAUGCAAGUCGAACGGCAGCACAGUAAGAGCUUGCUCUUAUGGGUGGCGAGUGGCGGACGGGUGAGGAAUACAUCGGAAUCUACUUUUUCGUGGGGGAUAACGUAGGGAAACCUACGCUAAUACCGCAUACGACCUACGGGUGAAAGCAGGGGAUCUUCGGACCUUGCGCGAUUGAAUGAGCCGAUGUCGGAUUAGCUAGUUGGCGGGGUAAAGGCCCACCAAGGCGACGAUCCGUAGCUGGUCUGAGAGGAUGAUCAGCCACACUGGAACUGAGACACGGUCCAGACUCCUACGGGAGGCAGCAGUGGGGAAUAUUGGACAAUGGGCGCAAGCCUGAUCCAGCCAUACCGCGUGGGUGAAGAAGGCCUUCGGGUUGUAAAGCCGUUUUGUUGGGAAAGAAAAGCAGCAGGUUAAUACCCCGCUGUUCUGACGGUACCCAAAGAAUAAGCACCGGCUAACUUCGUG
rnacentral:rRNA from 1 species